AGUGAACGCUGGCGGUAGGCCUAACACAUGCAAGUCGAACGGCAGCACAGUAAGAGCUUGCUCUUACGGGUGGCGAGUGGCGGACGGGUGAGGAAUACAUCGGAAUCUACUUUUUCGUGGGGGAUAACGUAGGGAAACUUACGCUAAUACCGCAUACGACCUACGGGUGAAAGCAGGGGAUCUUCGGACCUUGCGCGAUUGAAUGAGCCGAUGUCGGAUUAGCUAGUUGGCGGGGUAAAGGCCCACCAAGGCGACGAUCCGUAGCUGGUCUGAGAGGAUGAUCGGGCAACAUUGAAAUGAGACACGGUCCAGACCCCUAAGGGAGGGAGCAGUAGGGAAUUUUCGGCAAUGGGCGAAAGCCUGACGGAGCAACGCCGCGUGGGUGAAGAAGGUCUUCGGAGUGUAAAACCCUUUUAUUAGGGAAGAAAAGAUGGGUAAGUAACUCCGCACUGUUUGACGGUACCCAAAAAGAAAGCCACGGCUAACUACGUG
rnacentral:rRNA from 1 species